GGCACAUUAUAUAUAGGGGCGCUUUCCGCUGGGGGAACCUCUUGCCCUCUGACUCCGGGCUUGCCCUUUCGUCUUCCGGGUCGCCUCGCUUCCGCCCGCGGUCAACAGCUUGCAGCCGCACCGAUUGUAGGCGAGAGGCCGAAGCAGGGGUCCCUUCAUGGGCCAAUUGCGCCGCGGAGGUCGAGCUCAUCACUCCUCUCCCCCUCAGGUGUGUGCUGGGGCAGCCUGAUUGUGGUGGAAAUCUCCAAACUAUCCCCUUGCGGAACCGCUGCUGUUUUGCCUGUACUGUUCUGCCUGUAUUGUUUUGCCUGCGCUUCUUUGCCUGUGACGACGACCUCGCACGCGGCACAGCGUGCGUGGCACACGACGCCGUCUUCCCCCGCUGUUGUUGCCCGCCUGCCGCUUCCCAAACAGCGGCCAUCUACUGUUGCGGGUUCAACGCUGGCUGCUUUCCCACCCAAGCCAAGGCUUGGGCUGGUUUUAAUGUGGACUGGAGCGUUGUGAUUUAUUUUUGUGUUUGAUUUCACCUGAGUUUAGUUUAUGAUAUAUUGUUUUUUUUCUUUUGUUUGGUUUUCUCUGUUAUUGGAUGUGUCUACUUUCUGAUUUAUUUGUUCUCUUUAGUUUGUUUAAUUGACAUGUUGAUUUCAGUGAAACCAUUUUUGAUUGGUUUUGUUAUUUGGUGUAUUUUCAUUAUGAUUAUUUUGGGUUGUGUGCUCCACUAAUUUUAUUUCCUUUCCUUUCCCCCUUAGCUACUGAGUGCCGACGGUGUGGUGGUGCUGUCCAGGGUGGUGGCCUCCCCUUCUUCUUGUGUGCGUGUUGAGACCCCCAUUUUUUUAGUUUCUUUCACCAGAGUGCAGUGGUUGUGAUUCACGUGUGUUUGGGGUGCCUUCAGUUUUGUUCUCCUCACUGGGAUUUCCCUUCACUCCUCGUCAUCUCCCACCAGCCGGUAAGCCUCAGCCCCCAAUUAGGUGUUCCUUUUGUCUUUUGUGUGUGCUUUUAUUGUGUUUCUUUUAUAUUGUUUAUAUUUCAAUAAAUGUUCUAUGGAUGAUUGAA